rnacentral:ncRNA from 2 species
GGCGGCGAUGGGGAUGGAGUUCCCCCGAAACCGCCCGCGAGGGCUGAUGACUCCUACCGCAAC